CGGUACAGAGUCAAUGUGGAGGCUAUAUACAGGGGGUACCGGUACAGAGUCAAUGUGGAGGCUAUAUACAGGGGGUACCGGGACAGAGUCAAUGUGGAGGCUAUAUACAGGGGGAACCGGUACAGAGUCAAUGUGGAGGCUAUAUACAGGGGGUACCGGUACAGAGUCAAUGUGGAGGCUAUAUACAGGGGGUACCGGUACAGAGUCAAUGUGGAGGCUAUAUACAGGGGGUACCGGUACAGAGUCAAUGUGGAGGCUAUAUACAGGGGGUACCGGUACAGAGUCAAUGUGGAGGCUAUAUACAGGGGGUACCGGUACAGAGUCAAUGUGGGGGCUAUAUACAGGGGGUACCGGUACAGAGUCAAUGUGGAGGCUAUAUACAGGGGGGUACCGGUACAGAGUCAAAGUGGAGGCUAUAUACAGGGGGUACCGGUACAGAGUCAAUGUGGAGGCUAUAUACAGGGGGUACCGGUACAGAGUCAAUGUGGAGGCUAUAUACAGGGGGUACCGGUACAGAGUCAAUGUGGAGCCUAUAUACAGGGGGUACCGGUACAGAGUCAAUGUGGAGGCUAUAUACAGGGGGUACCGGUACAGAGCCAA
rnacentral:lncRNA from 1 species